GACGGGGGGUGCAAGCGUUGUUCGGAAUCAUUGGGCGUAAAGCGUGUGCAGGUGGCUCUGCAAGUCAGAUGUGAAAGCCCCGGGCUUAACCCGGGAAGUGCAUUUGAAACUGCAGAGCUUGAGUAUGGAAGAGGGUCGUGGAAUUCCAGGUGUAGUGGUGAAAUACGUAGAUAUCUGGAGGAACACCCGGUGGCGAAGGCGGCGACCUGGUCCAAUACUGACACUCAUACACGAAAAGCGUGGGGAUCAAAACAGG
rnacentral:rRNA from 1 species